rnacentral:rRNA from 1 species
CCUACGGGCGGCAGCAGUAGGGAAUCUUCCGCAAUGGGCGAAAGCCUGACGGAGCAACGCCGAGUGAGUGAAGAAGGAUUUCGGUUCGUAAAGCUCUGUUGUUAGGGAAGAAUGAUUGUAUAGUAACUAUAUACAGUAGAGACGGUACCUAACCAGAAAGCCACGGCUAACUACGUGCCAGCAGCCGCGGUAAUACGUAGGUGGCAAGCGUUGUCCGGAAUUAUUGGGCGUAAAGCGCGCGCAGGUGGUUUAAUAAGUCUGAUGUGAAAGCCCACGGCUCAACCUUGGAGGGUCAUUGGAAACUGUUAAACUUGAGUGCAGCAGAGAAAAGUGGAAUUCCUAGUGUAGCGGUGAAAUUCGUAGAGAUUAGGAGGAACACCAGUGGCGAAGGCGGCUUUUUGGCCUGUAACUGACACUGAUGCGCGAAAGCGUGGGGAUCAAACAGGAUUAGAUACCCGAGUAGUC